GCAGCCGACCUGGACUGGAAUCUCUGAAAGAGACGCCGCAGGAGAUUCCAGGGUGUAAAAGAACAGCCCUCCCAAGAGCAGAAGCAUGUUGGAAAUUCUGGACAAGCUGUAUACAGGAUAAUCUCCCUUCCACCUCUCCCCCUCCUCUGAACAUUAUACACAGAAGUGGCCAGUCUGGACGUAAGGAAGCGCUACCCAAAAACCCUAGCAGCCCUGCCACUCCUUGGAACCAGGAGACGGGAUUGAUGUAAAGGUCCACCAACGAAAGACUGCCUUGGCUCCAUGCUGGAAAGGCCCUUAAGUCCUGAUGACUACCAACACCGCUGUGAAGUACCAAAGACUGACUGCUUGGACCCAAGAUUCUCACUGCAAAAAGACCCCUCCACAUUGGGAGAAUUCUCCUACUGAUGAUUAGCCUAUUUCACCUUCUAGCUCCACUGUGCCUUCUGGACAGUAGGGAAAAAGUACAAGGUGAAGUGCUAGUAGCCUCUCCCUUAUCCACUGACAGAUCUACUGUGCCUUUGAAUUUUUCUAGAAAAAGCAAAACCAUUACAGGGUGAUGUGCUAGUAACCUCUCCCCUAUAUGAUGCUGCACCAAGACUAAGAAGGAACACUCACUCCACUGAAAUUGCUAAAGUCCAGGAAUUCCUGACUAGAAAGGGC